ACGGGGGGAACGCGAAGAACCUUACCUACCCUUGACAUGUCCGGAAUCCCGAAGAGAUUUGGGAGUGCUCGAAAGAGAGCCGGAACACAGGUGCUGCAUGGCUGUCGUCAGCUCGUGUCGUGAGAUGUUGGGUUAAGUCCCGCAACGAGCGCAACCCUUAUCAUUAGUUGCCAUCAUUCAGUUGGGCACUCUAAUGAGACUGCCGGUGACAAACCGGAGGAAGGUGGGGAUGACGUCAAGUCCUCAUGGCCCUUAUGGGUAGGGCUUCACACGUCAUACAAUGGUCGGUACAGAGGGUUGCCAACCCGCGAGGGGGAGCUAAUCUCACAAAGCCGAUCGUAGUCCGGAUCGCAGUCUGCAACUCGACUGCAUGAAGUCGGAAUC
rnacentral:rRNA from 1 species